AUACGGAGGGUCCAAGCGUUAUCCGGAAUCAUUGGGUUUAAAGGGUCCGCAGGCGGUCAAUUAAGUCAGAGCUGAAAGCCCAUCGCUCAACGAUGGAACUGCCUUUGAUACUGGUUGACUUGAGUUAUACGGAAGUAGAUAGAAUAAGUAGUGUAGCGGUGAAAUGCAUAGAUAUUACUUAGAAUACCGAUUGCGAAGGCAGUCUACUACGUAUAUACUGACGCUGAGGGACGAAAGCGUGGGGAGCGAACAGGAUUAGAAACCCUAGUAGUCC
rnacentral:rRNA from 1 species